UUCUCCCAGAGCUUCUUUAGAAGGUGAAAAAUGACACUUCAAUAUUAGAAAACCGGUGACACAUAGGAAGUAGAAAGUCAUUGGAAAAAGUCAUUACUAUCUGAAAACAACUGGUUGUUUGAACAGUGAACAACUUUUUAAUUCCUGAGAGAUGCUAACAAUUUUACACAAGAAUCUCUUUAUUCAGAUCCAUGUGUCAUCACAUUCACAGCUCCAGUACAUUAUGAAUAAGAAGGCCCUUAGUCCCAAAAGGUAACCCCCAGAAAUUCUGGGUGCUGUUAACCAGCCCAUAAAGUACACGGUUUGGCCACGUUGAGAACAUGUAAGUGUGCUGGUGACCUGCCAGUAUGAGGUCAAACACCACAGCUUGCUUCCCAAAUGCCAGGAGGUAUUUGUCUCGAUUGAAGUGCGAGUCCCAGCUGUGGGGGAGGGGCGCUAAUACCUUUCAGAACGCCAAGCAUUCUCUAUCCGUAUACAAGUAGCUCUUCACUGAGAGAACUGCCCCCCUGCUUCUUGCGAUUCUGCAGCCGAAACUAACAAUGUCCAUCCUUUAGAGUAGCGUUAAAGCGCUCAUUGGCAAAGAUAGUGUUUGCUUAAAAACAUUCUAGUCAGUAGGGGUAGGUCUACAGCAUGUAUAGGUGCCGGCCAGCAAAUUAAAUCAGCUAUACGUUCAUCACCUUGCACCUUAAAAGCAUCUAAGUUCCAUUGGAACACAUUGUCCUUUUUAUAUUGUGACCCACUGAAAGUUAAUGAUGUACCGCGUCCUGAUAAAAUCCAUUUGCCUGGGUUUAAAUGAGUACAAAUGCAGUCGUGGCACUGCUUCUUGUAGGCUGAUUCCUGGUCACAUCGGCAGCCGCCCCCCCAAAAAAAGCUAAAAGCAAUCAGAAGUCUAAUCUCGAAAUUCCUUUGCAGUCUUGAACCGUAAACUCACAAUAGUUUGUGUAGGCAAUAUCUGUCCUAUAAUGACCUGCCCUUCCCAUAUAGAGGCGGAGCCUAAAUACUGAGCGCUGUUCCCACGUGGAAUGCACAUUUGCUAUCAAACAAGCGCUGGGAAUAACAUGGGGCGGAAAGGGAACCACUGCAGCCCCCUUCACAUACUCCUGUUCAUACAGAUUUAUUGGCAUAUCUCGAACAUUCUUCCAGUCAAGCAGUCUGUUCAGAUCACUACUGAACAAAGGAAGGAGCCAGGACGCAAGUGGAUCAGCAUGGGGUGCCAGCUAGGGUGAUCAAUAAGUAAUUGUUUAUUACUCACACCAGUCCCUGUCCCACUGGAUUUUACAAUCUGAGGUCCCUGUCACAUUCAACACACACUUAGUUCAAGUUUAUCAGGAGCCGGUUAACCUGCCUGUGUGUUUUUGUCAUGCAGGAAAAAACUCAUGCAGAGAAAGGAACUACAUAGAGUUGAACGCAGGGCCCCAGCACUGCAAGGCAGAAGUACUAAUCACUGCCAGUAUUAUUACCCCGGUGCUCUCCCAAAGUUUACUUCCAUCCAUCACAUUCCUGCUCUCUAACAAGUUAGCACGUAACUUCAUCUGUGCUAUUCUCGGUUCUCCUAAGACUGGGCAGGCCUUCCAGUUCUCUUCUAUCCCACUUCCAGUCCCUAUCUACCUCCCCUAUAUUUUUAUCGAAGGGAUGUAAGGUGUCCUUGCUACGCACAGUUCAUAGGGCCAAAUUGAAAGUCAUUGAUUACUGCUGAAAUCAUACCUGAUAUGAGGUGUCCGUAUACCACUGGACUACCAGAGAAAUAAGGGAUGGGAGAUACCACUCCAGAAGCACCCCACUCAGCCAUCUCCCAAUUAAUCCAAAUGCUUAGAAAGGAUUUCCUUUUUUGUAGUAAUAAACAGUACAUUUUACUUGAUCCAAACUAAGAUAUAAUUAAUCCUUAUUGGAAGCAAACCAGCCUAUUGGAUUUAUUUAAUGUUUACAUGAUUUUCUAGUAGACUUAAGGUAUGAAGAUCCAAAUUAUGGAAAUACUUUAUCUGGAAAACCCCAGUCCCGAGUAUUCUGAAUAACAGGUCCCAUCCUGAAAAAGAUGUCUUUCUACACAAAAUGGGAAAGCCAUGAGUGGUGCCUUUUGAGAACCCCAAUGUCUUUUAUGGGUAUUGUUUAUCCAGUAUCAAGCUUCAAGAAAAUCCCAAAUGAAGAUCAGUUGCAUUGGAUAUGUUUGCAUCUUAUAUAUACAGUAUAUCUAUAAUUUCCUAAUAUUCACCUGAGGUGAAAUUCUCUAAGAAUAAAAGCAAACAUUUAUUUUA